UCUUAUGGAUGAGCAAAGAAGGUAGUUUCUUGAAGUGGAAUCUACUGCAGGUGAAGAUGCUGUGAA
rnacentral:pre_miRNA from 1 species